GAUGAACGCUGGCGGCGUGCUUAACACAUGCAAGUCGAACGGAAAGGCCCUGCUCUUGUGCUGUGCUCGAUUGCCGCCCGCGUGCGUAUCACGUGCGUAUCCUCCCCUUGCCUCUCGGAUAUCUCUACGACACCGGGGCUCAUACCGCAUAGGAGCUCCUGCUGCGUGGUGGGUGCUGGAAAGAUUCGGCGGUUGUGGAUGUAAUAGCGGCUUACGAGCUUGUUGGUCGGGUAGUGGCUGACCAAGGUUUUGGCGGGUAGUCGGCCUGAGAGGGUGAACGGCCACAUGAGGACUGAGAUACGGCCCAGACUCCUACGGGAGGCAGCAGGGGGGAAUAUGGCACAAUGGGCGGAAGCCUGAUGCAGCAACGCCGCGUUCGGGAUGACGGCCUUCUGGUUGAAAACCGCUGUCGCCGUUAACGAAGCGUUAGUGACGGUAAUGGAUAAAGAAGCACCGGCUAACUACGUG
rnacentral:rRNA from 1 species